GUGAACAGGCAAGAGCUCAGAUUUGAAAGGCACUUUUGUGCCGUUGUAUUCUGAAGUUAGGGUCCUGAGAAACGAUGCUUAAGUCUUCUGGAAAGGAGCGCCAUGGAGGGUGAUAGCCCCGUCUAGCAUUGACCUCAUAUAGGAUCUUAACAUGGAGUCGAGUUGUUUGGGAAUGCAGCUCAAAUGGGUGGUAUGCUCCAUCUAAAGCUAAAUAUCUGCGAGAGACCGAUAGUAAACAAGUACUGUGAGGGAAAGAUGAAAAGAACUUUGAAAAGAGAGUGAAAAAGUACGUGAAAUUGUUGAAAUGGAAGGGUAGGCCGCUAACCAUGUAGAGCCGUGUUUGGGGGGAAGAUAAAUGCUGUAGAAUGUAGCUCCUCGGAGUAUUAUAGAUGCAGUUCAUAUUCCCACCCGAGCGCG
rnacentral:rRNA from 1 species